rnacentral:tRNA from 1 species
GCCGCUGUAGCUCAGGUGGUAGAGCAGAGGAGUGAAAAUCCUCGUGUCGUUGGUUCGAUUCCGACCGGAGGCACCA